rnacentral:rRNA from 1 species
GACGAACGCUGGCGGCGUGCUUAACACAUGCAAGUCGAACGGAAAGGCCUCUUUCGGGGGGUACUCGAGUGGCGAACGGGUGAGUAACACGUGAGUAACCUGCCCUUGACUUUGGGAUAACUUCAGGAAACUGGGGCUAAUACCGGAUAGGAGCUCCUGCUGCAUGGUGGGGGUUGGAAAGUUUCGGCGGAUGGGGGUGGACUCGCGGCUUAUCAGCUUGUUGGUGGGGUAGUGGCUUACCAAGGCUUUGACGGGUAGCCGGCCUGAGAGGGUGACCGGCCACAUUGGGACUGAGAUACGGCCCAGACUCCUACGGGAGGCAGCAGUGGGGAAUAUUGCACAAUGGGUGGAAGCCUGAUGCAGCAACGCCGUGUGCGGGAUGACGGCCUUCGGGUUGUAAACCGCUUUCGCUCAUGACGAAGCUUUGUGUGACGGUAGUGGGUAAAGAAGCACCGGCUAACUACGUG